UAGGGAAUAUUAGACAAUGGGCGAAAGCCUGAUCCAGCCAUGCCGCGUGCAGGAUGAAGGCCUUCGGGUUGUAAACUGCUUUUGUACGGAACGAAAAGACUCCUUCUAAUAAAGGGGAUCCAUGACGGUACCGUAAGAAUAAGCACCGGCUAACUACGUGCCAGCAGCCGCGGUAAUACGUAGGGUGCAAGCGUUAAUCGGAAUUACUGGGCGUAAAGCGUGCGCAGGCGGUUAUAUAAGACAGAUGUGAAAUCCCCGGGCUCAACCUGGGAACUGCAUUUGUGACCGUAUAGCUAGAGUACGGCAGAGGGGGAUGGAAUUCCGCGUGUAGCAGUGAAAUGCGUAGAUAUGCGGAGGAACACCGAUGGCGAAGGCAAUCCCCUGGGCCUGUACUGACGCUCAUGCACGAAAGCGUGGGGAGCAAACA
rnacentral:rRNA from 1 species